GACAACGUGGCCGAGUGGUUAAGGCGACGCCCUGCUAAGGCGCUAUGUUCUGCAUGCGUAGGUUCGAAUCCUGCCGUUGUCG
rfam:Batrachochytrium dendrobatidis JEL423 supercont1.1 genomic scaffold, whole genome shotgun sequence.